CCUACGGGAGGCAGCAGUGGGGAAUAUUGGGCAAUGGGCGCAAGCCUGACCCAGCAACGCCGCGUGAAGGAUGAAGGCCUUAGGGUUGUAAACUUCUUUUAAGAGGGAAGAGCAGAAGACGGUACCUCUUGAAUAAGCCACGGCUAACUACGUGCCAGCAGCUGCGGUAAUACGUAGGUAGCAAGCGUUGUCCGGAUUUACUGGGUGUAAAGGGCGUGUAGCGGGGCUGACAAGUCAGAUGUGAAAUCCCGUGGCUCAACCACGGAACUGCAUUUGAAACUGUCGGUCUUGAGUAUCGGAGAGGCAGGCGGAAUUCCUAGUGUAGCGGUGAAAUGCGUAGAUAUUAGGAGGAACACCAGUGGCGAAGGCAGCCUGCUGGACGACAACUGACGGUGAGGCGCGAAAGCGUGGGGAGCAAACAGGAUUAGAUACCCCUGUAGUC
rnacentral:rRNA from 1 species